UGUUAAAAAUUUCAUUAAUCUCUACUAUUAAAAAUUGUCAUAGCCGAUAGAAUAACUAAAUAAUGACAUGUGUUUCUUGUGCUGACGUACAAUGACUAGUUUUCAAAAGUAGAAAUGGAUGAAACUUUUAACG
rfam:Gossypium arboreum cultivar AKA8401 contig_5249_1, whole genome shotgun sequence.